rnacentral:rRNA from 1 species
AACGUAGGUCACAAGCGUUGUCCGGAAUUACUGGGUGUAAAGGGAGCGCAGGCGGGAAGACAAGUUGGAAGUGAAAUCUAUGGGCUCAACCCAUAAACUGCUUUCAAAACUGUUUUUCUUGAGUAGUGCAGAGGUAGGCGGAAUUCCCGGUGUAGCGGUGGAAUGCGUAGAUAUCGGGAGGAACACCAGUGGCGAAAGCGGCCUACUGGGCACCAACUGACGCUGAGGCUCGAAAGUGUGGGUAGCAAACAGG